GACGAACGCUGGCGGCGUGCCUAAUACAUGCCAGUAGAACGCUGAAGGAGGAGCUUGCUUCUCUGGAUGAGUUGCGAACGGGGGAGUAACGCGUAGGUAACCUGCCUGGUAGCGGGGGAUAACUAUUGGAAACGAUAGCUAAUACCGCAUAAUAGUAGAUGUUGCAUGACAUUUGCUUAAAAGGUGCAAUUGCAUCACUACCAGAUGGACCUGCGUUGUAUUAGCUAGUUGGUGAGGUAACGGCUCACCAAGGCGACGAUACAUAGCCGACCUGAGAGGGUGAUCGGCCACACUGGGACUGAGACACGGCCCAGACUCCUACGGGAGGCAGCAGUAGGGAAUCUUCGGCAAUGGACGGAAGUCUGACCGAGCAACGCCGCGUGAGUGAAGAAGGUUUUCGGAUCGUAAAGCUCUGUUGUAAGAGAAGAACGAGUGUGAGAGUGGAAAGUUCACACUGUGACGGUAUCUUACCAGAAAGGGACGGCUAACUACGUG
rnacentral:rRNA from 1 species